AGUGAACGCUGGCGGUAGGCCUAACACAUGCAAGUCGAACGGCAGCACAGUAAGAGCUUGCUCUUACGGGUGGCGAGUGGCGGACGGGUGAGGAAUACAUCGGAAUCUACUUUUUCGUGGGGGAUAACGUAGGGAAACUUACGCUAAUACCGCAUACGACCUACGGGUGAAAGCAGGGGAUCUUCGGACCUUGCGCGAUUGAAUGAGCCGAUGUCGGAUUAGCUAGUUGGCGGGGUAAAGGCCCACCAAGGCGACGAUCCGUAGCUGGUCUGAGAGGAUGAUCAGCCACACUGGAACUGAGACACGUUCCAGACUCCGACGGGAGGCAGCAGUGGGGAAUAUUGGACAAUGGGCGCAAGCCUGAUCCAGCCAUACCGCGUGGGUGAAGAAGGCCUUCGGGUUGUAAAGCCCUUUUGUUGGGAAAGAAAAGCAGCAGGUUAAUACCCCGCUGUUCUGACGGUACCCAAAGAAUAAGCACCGGCUAACUUCGUG
rnacentral:rRNA from 1 species